ACGAACGCUGGCGGCGUGCCUAAUACAUGCAAGUAGAACGCUGAAGAGAGGAGCUUGCUCUUCUUGGAUGAGUUGCGAACGGGUGAGUAACGCGUAGGUAACCUGCCUUGUAGCGGGGGAUAACUAUUGGAAACGAUAGCUAAUACCGCAUAACAAUGGAUGACACAUGUCAUUUAUUUGAAAGGGGCAAUUGCUCCACUACAAGAUGGACCUGCGUUGUAUUAGCUAGUAGGUGAGGUAAUGGCUCACCUAGGCGACGAUACAUAGCCGACCUGAGAGGGUGAUCGGCCACACUGGGACUGAGACACGGCCCAGACUCCUACGGGAGGCAGCAGUAGGGAAUCUUCGGCAAUAGGGGCAACCCUGACCGAGCAACGCCGCGUGAGUGAAGAAGGGUUUCGGAUCGUAAAGCUCGGUUGUAAGUCAAGAACGGGUGUGAGAGUGGAAAGUUCACACUGUGACGGUAGCUUACCAGAAAGGGACGGCUAACUACGUG
rnacentral:rRNA from 1 species